rnacentral:rRNA from 1 species
CCUACGGGGGGCUGCAGUGGGGAAUAUUGGGCAAUGGGCGCAAGCCUGACCCAGCAACGCCGCGUGAAGGAAGAAGGCUUUCGGGUUGUAAACUUCUUUUCUCAGGGACGAAGCAAGUGACGGUACCUGAGUAAUAAGCCACGGCUAACUACGUGCCAGCAGCCGCGGUAAUACGUAGGUGGCAAGCGUUAUCCGGAUUUACUGGGUGUAAAGGGCGUGUAGGCGGGACUGCAAGUCAGAUGUGAAAUCCAUGGGCUCAACCUAUGGCCUGCAUUUGAAACUGUAGUUCUUGAGUACUGGAGAGGCAGACGGAAUUCCUGGUGUAGCGGUGAAAUGCGUAGAUAUUAAGAGGAACACCAAUGGCGAAGGCGGUCUGCUGGACAGCAACUGACGCUGAGGCGCGAAAGCGUGGGGAGCAAACAGGAUUAGAUACCCGUGUAGUC